rnacentral:lncRNA from 1 species
UGGGUACAGAGCAAGACUCUGUCUUGGGGGAAAAAAAAAAGUAAGAGAUGGUGAUUGGUUGGAUAUGGGAGAUAAAGGAAAGAUUUAAGUUUAACUUCUGACUUCUUAUGGCUGAAUACUACCCACUGAAUGAAGAUCUGUUUAGGGAAAAGAUAAAGGGUUCUGACUUGGACAUAUCUAGUUCAAGGUUCCUAGAUCAUAUCUUAGUGAAUAUACCCUGCAUAAAACUCAUGGGUAAUGUCUAGAUUGGAGAAAAAAUAGGAGAAAAAUCAUCAGAUCACCCAAAGAAAGUGUGCAGAAUAAGUAAAGUUGUGGACCAAGGAUUAAAACCUUGGGGAAUUCUAACAUCAAGAAUGAAAGCACACACGGAAAAAGAAUCUAAGCUUCAUGAAGGUGGAUUUUUGUUCAUUUUAUUUACUGUUAUGGCUCCAGCUGUUCUUACUAUAUGAUGACUUCUGGAGUGAUCAGAAAAUUUUCCAGUCCAUAAACUUGCCUAUUGGAGGGGAAGGAAAAGAAGGGCCCUGCAUUCUAAGAUUUCAUAUUGGUAGGGAUGAUACUGGCUUUUUAUUUGCCAGUUCUACAUAAACAGCUAUCAGAUUAUUAUAAAUUUAAGAGUCAAUCCUGGAGUGACGUGAGUAGCAGAAUGCCAAGUCUAUGAGUCACGUGAUAACUACUGGACAUGCACAUGAGAAUAUGACGAGGAUGGUGCCUUAGAAUGGGGAUUCUCAAUCUGAGGUAACAAUGGGAACAAUUACCAUAUAACUAUUCAAGUGUUUAACUAGCCAGUAUUUUAAAAAAUACCUACUACAUCCUCAGCAUAGUCACUGAAGAAAACUAGGGAUCCAAGAAAAUCAUACCAUUUAAAAAUAAUUGGUAAGUAUGCUAUUUAGCAUGAAAAAUUAGUUUGGACACAUUAAAUGUUCUAGCAAUUUAGAGGAGAGGUUUAGCGGGCAGAAUUCGAGGAGGAGCUGGAGUAAGGGGAGUAUUGCGGGGUGUAUGGUCACUAAGA